rnacentral:lncRNA from 1 species
GCUCGUAUUAGUUAGUUCAUGAUGCAAUGUUAGCAGUAGUUCUUUAGAAUAUCUUCAAUAUGCUCAAAUAUCAAUAAUAUUUUUAUUUUCCAGUAGGGUAAUCGACUAGCCUGAAAAACUGGUCGAUUAUCUGCUAUUUUCGUAUUAAAAUUGAAAAACAAUUGAUCAACAAUCGAUUGUCAUUGACUAACAAUCGAUUGUCGUUAAGACAGUGUAAUCUGGAAUUUUUCAAAAAUCAUCCACAA